CCGGAGCUUGCUCCACCGGGAAAAGAGGAGUGGCGAACGGGUGAGUAACACGUGGGUAACCUGCCCAUCAGAAGGGGAUAACACUUGGAAACAGGUGCUAAUACCGUAUAACAAUCGAAACCGCAUGGUUUCGUUUUGAAAGGCGCUUUACGGUGCCGCUGAUGGAUGGACCCGCGGUGCAUUAGCUAGUUGGUGAGGUAACGGCUCACCAAGGCCACGAUGCAUAGCCGACCUGAGAGGGUGAUCGGCCACAUUGGGACUGAGACACGGCCCAAACUCCUACGGGAGGCAGCAGUAGGGAAUCUUCGGCAAUGGACGAAAGUCUGACCGAGCAACGCCGCGUGAGUGAAGAAGGUUUUCGGAUCGUAAAACUCUGUUGUUAGAGAAGAACAAGGGUGAGAGUAACUGUUCACCCCUUGACGGUAUCUAACCAGAAAGCCACGGCUAACUACGUGCCAGCAGCCGCGGUAAUACGUAGGUGGCAAGCGUUGUCCGGAUUUAUUGGGCGUAAAGCGAGCGCAGGCGGUUUCUUAAGUCUGAUGUGAAAGCCCCCGGCUCAACCGGGGAGGGUCAUUGGAAACUGGGAGACUUGAGUGCAGAAGAGGAGAGUGGAAUUCCAUGUGU
rnacentral:rRNA from 1 species